UACGGAGGAUCCAAGCGUUAUCCGGAUUUAUUGGGUUUAAAGGGUGCGUAGGUGGUUUUUUAAGUCAGGGGUGAAAGACGGCAGCUUAACUGUCGCAGUGCCUUUGAUACUGAAGAACUUGAAUACACUAGAGGUAGGCGGAAUGUGACAAGUAGCGGUGAAAUGCGUAGAUAUGUGGCAGAACACCGAUUGCGAAGGCAGCUUACUAUGGUGUCAUUGAUGCUGAGGCGCGAAAGCGUGGGGAUCAAACAGG
rnacentral:rRNA from 1 species